CGCCUGCUGCAAUAGUAGAUCCUCCAGACGCUUCAUCCGCGCCUCCUGUCGGCGCGCCGCCUCGGUCUGCUGUCGGGCCGCCUCCGCCUGCUGAGUGACCAAAUCAGUGAGGGCCGCAAGCUGGCCCCUCAACUCACGGACCUCGCUGGAUCCGGAGGUAGCGGAGGUCUCGACCUCCUCGAAGUUUGCCGCAUUGUCCACCCCGGCAGAUUGGGAGCGAGUAAUCGGCAUCGUCACUACAACAUUAUAAAAACGCAAGUUAGUAAAAACCCACGCUAUCGCAUCCCCGCUCAAAUAAGCAAUACCCAAAUCAUGCGAAAGUAAAGAAGUGUUCUUCACCACUAACUCCCGAUGUUACGUUGUCGGCCGCCAACGUAACCCUCCGCGNNNNNNNNNNNNNNNNNNNNNNNNNNNNNNNNNNNNNNNNNNNNNNNNNNNNNNNNNNNNNNNNNNNNNNNNNNNNNNNNNNNNNNNNNNNNNNNNNNNNNNNNNNNNNNNNNNNNNNNNNNNNNNNNNNNNNNNNNNNNNNNNNNNNNNNNNNNNNNNNNNNNNNNNNNNNNNNNNNNNNNNNNNNNNNNNNNNNNNNNNNNNNNNNNNNNNNNNNNUAACACUUGCAAUACUAUCGACCUCUGAAAAUGAAGUACGUAUCAACGAAAGUAUGAAUACGAUAAAUACGAUUCAUCUCUAUAGUACAACAUCAUUCAAUGUAAAAAUGAAUGGAAAGCGAAAAGAUGGAAAUAUCAGUGACUGUAAAAAACAUCGAAACCCGGAACACCACGUAAGUGACUUCAGUCAUUAACAGGUGACCCUUGAUAAAAAUUAUCAAGAGUGCGGGGGCAAAGUACCAAAUGAAAAGUCUCGGAAGCCGUGGCCGCCUCCGUGCCCUAGCGCCAUUCCCCUAGCGAAUCGAUCGAUCGCUCCUCGCCAUGAAACGGAUCCACCAAAUGAGAAAGAAAAACAUCAACUCUCUCACUCUCCAAAAACAUAGGUACAUAUCUCUGGUGGAUACAUAGAUGGAUAUCGUGAACAUAGACCCUAAAAGAACAUAGUGAAAUACAAAAUAAAUCACCUAAAUGUCAAAAAAGGAAUAGAAAACAACAUCGUAAAUCUGUAAAUAAUACGAGACUAUGAAAAUCUACAGAAAAUAAUAACGAAAAUAAUAACAACAAAAAUCUGCGGAAUAUACAAAAUCUGCACACCGCCCAGACCCGUGCACGGCCCGCCCGAAGGCGUCCCAGGGCCCCGCACUGUCUAAUUAAACCAUAGUCUCGGAUCCCAACUCAGAAUCCCCUGGAUCAUUUGGAAUCCGGCCAACCUGAUAUCCUUUAUCCGGCGAAAUAGUAAGGUUCCGUUGUUUACUAUUCUAGUCAAUGUCCAAGUAGUACACUAAGCCAUCAUCUGUCCAUAUGUCAUAAUGGAUACUCAAAGUCAAAUCUGAAGAGACCCACCCGAAGGCUGUCUAUGGCCCUGAGACCCACCCGUAGGCUGUCUGGCCGGUGCCUGUUAACUAUAAAAAUGUUUAAACACCGUUCUCUAACAGCUUAAGCUUUUAGAGUACAACGGUUGUUUCACAUGGUAUCAGAGCAGGAGGUUCUGAGUUCGAGUCACGCCAGGCUCCUAGUAUAUUAAUUUCCUCCAAUUUAAUUCAAGCCCACGUCAUGGGCCGAUUAAAAAGUCUCGAGCCCAGACGUGAGGGGGAGUGUUAAAUAUAAAAAUGUUUAAACACCGUUCUCUAACAGCUUAAGCUUUUAGAGUACAACGGUUGUUUCACAGUGCCGAGCAUAAUGGCCCCGUGGUAGUCAUCAUCCCCACCCUAGGAAUGAGCCUGGCCCACGGCAAUCCACUUUGGCGCCCAAUCCCGCACGGCGAAUAUGAAUCGCGAUGGCUAUCUCCGGAGUGCCGGCUUGUAGGGAGCGACCCUCACAAGCAUAUGCGAAUGAGCACAAUGGCAAGUAGUCAAACGAUCUGUCGCAAGUACCAAGUCCUCAUGUCUAAUAACAUGGAAUGUGUCAAGUAUCCCAAUGGCCUAUCCCUAUGUCAUCAUAUCUCUAACAUGGAAUAUAUCAGAUAUGUAGUGGCCUAUCAAUAUGUUUCUAUGUUGCAGUUUCAUAGUUUACUAGUUUCAAGUGCCCCUUGAUGACACUCUUGUUCUCUAUGUCAAGCAUGGCAACUAUGUCCCAAGUACAUAUUCCAAGUCAUAACCCUCGUAAGAGAUGUAUUUUUUACUUGCAAAAUAAACACUUUUCCCGUAUGCAUGUAUUCUACUCAUAUAGCUCUACUAUAUAGUGAAAUUUUUAUAAUACACAAGGCAUGCAUUUUAAGUGUUCUAAAAUUCAUAUAAAUCCCAUUUAGCAUAGAAAUGAAUUUAAAAAUAUUUUACAACAAGUAGAAAGAGCAUAGGGGUCAUUUCGCCCCAUUUCCACGAAGCCAAACCCACCGAUGACAACGAAACUCCUCGUGCGCUCCCACGAGGGUGUCCUCUAGUCUCCUAGUACCCUAGAGGUAUAAAAACAUGUGUCAUACGAGCCAAACGAACAAUACCUAGCUCAAUCAUUAAGCUAAUCAAGCAUAGGUGUGGAAAACUCACCUCUAGUGCAAAAAUCUCCUCUAAAGCUCCAAAAGAGAGCUAGAGCCCUUCUAAACCAACCAAAUGGAAGCCUCUAAUCCACUCAAUCUAGCUUCAAAAGCCCUAGAUUCAAAAUACCCAAAAUAAAUCCUAAUAUCACAAUCUAGGAUUUCGUCUCAUUAAAUCCAAUAAAUUAAGGAUCAAAAGGGAGAACUAAGCUUCUAACCUCUUUGGAAGCCUCCAACAAGUAUCCAAGUCCCCAAGAUCUGAAAAUCUUCCCUCAAACAAGCUCCAAAACCAAGCCUCAAGCUCCUUCCAUGGAGGGAGAACACCAAGAAGCAAAAAGAGGGAAAAAGAGAAGCUUAAAUCACAAAUUAAACCAACCAAGAUCAAAGAAAUAGAGAGGGAGGGUGUGGAGAACUCCCCUACCUCUUCUCCUGCUGCUGUGAAGCUCAGGGAAGCCCUAAGGGGCGUGGGGUCACUAAUAGGAGGCUACAAACGCGAAAAACCCCCUGCAGUUUCAUUCUGCACGAAACUGCCUCCUUGUACCGAUACACGGGCUCUUGCACCGGUACAAGGCCCACGAAGAUGCAAACCCGAGGCUCGGGUUGCGUGGUCUGCGGCUCUGUACCGGUACAAGCCCGAUGGCUGUACCGGUACAACCAUCAACCUUGUACCGGUACAAGACCAGUCUUGUUCCAGUACAAGCUCUGCUGCAGGCUACCCGAGAGCUGACCAAGGUCCAAUCAUUUUGGGCUAUGGUGCAAGGCUUAAAACCACAAUUCUCGGGAUGCGAGCCAUAGGUCGGAACACUGUCUACGACCUUCCAGAAAGUCUGAAAAAGCUCGACACACAGAUCAAACACUCGAACCUCGCAAUUUGCAAAGGUCCGGUGUGUUACAUAUAGCUUAAAACCCUAUAUGUGAUGCUGUAUGGUGAAUUGGAACCUAGGUAAAUGAUGGCCUAGUGAUAGUGUACAAGCAGUGUAUCAAGGACAGUUAAAUUGAUGACGAGUGGCAUCUAGUUAAUGUAAACCUAUGACGAGUGGCAUCUAGUUAAUGUAAACCUAUGGCGAGUGGCAUAUGAGAACCUUAGUGUAGCUGAAACACUAGAUUGAUGAGUAUAGAAACCUAUGGAUUCUAUGUUGAUGAUAUCCCUAGUUGGUAGGGUAUUCCCGGUUCACAAAGAUUGGAUCGUGCUCACAUAGCCUGUCUGCGCUUGUAGUGGUCGCUCCCUACAGGCUGUGCACUCCGGAGUAUUUGUCACAUAAGGGGCAAUCAAUAGAAUUGCCCGGACAGUCAGUGAGCUGUCUGCAGGCGGUCUCGGGGGAUAGUUCAGCGAGGCUUCUCCCCUAUGAGACUCAAAAACGUGAGAUUGAGGGCGAGUUUUCGAGUUAGCCGAAUGAUUGGGUAAGUUGAUGAAUAAACAUUAUUGUUGAACAUAGUAGUAUGGUAGCUGGCCUUACUAUUAGUUACAUGCAUUCAUUAUGUCGGAUUGAGGCUUAGUUAGAUAUGCACAUUCAUACCUGCUUUAUUAUCGUUGAUGCUUUCGAUUACGCAUAUCUAUCUAUCUAUCUUUUCCUCUUCCUUUGCCUGCUUAGACCUAGUGGGGAGAUCGGCGGAGUCGGCGGCCGAACCCACUGGGAACUAUUCGUAGUUCUCACCUCACAUUGUUGCAGGUCCGAGCUCGAGUACCCCCGGCGAGGAUUGCGGUAAGGGCUUAGCGCCCUAGAGGUAGUAGAUGUUCCUAUUUGCAUUAGUAGUCACCCUUUUGUACUUGAGAGUAGAUGAUGUAUAGGGUGAGGUGUUGUAAAGAUGUAAACCUUAUGUUUAUAUUUUGGAAGUUUAAAUGUAAUCAAAUGUACAAAAAUGAAUGUUGGUAAUAGAUAAGUAUCCCUCUUUUAUUCACUUAUAUGUUCAUUACUCGUGAUGCUUGCUCUCGUACUCUCACUUUUGUUUGUGAUUGUGUAUGUUUUCAAGUCAUUUUCUCGGGCACUUGUUGUACACAAUCCGUUGUUUAGCCUUGGGCGGACAGGUGUGAUCCUGUCCGUUCGGCGUCUGUUCGACGCGCCCGAACCAGACCAAAUUGGUAGCGGGUCUCGGGGCGUGACAGAUAAAGUGGUAUCAGAGCGAGUUAAGAGCAAGCAAAGAUAAAGUCUAGGAUGGACCUAGGAGACUCUAGAAUAGUGAACCCUAAGGUUAUAGGUGCGCGAGCGCGACGUGAACCUAUAGCGGUGGCGAAAGUUGGAUCGAUUGGGUCGAAGUUGAUGUUACGUCUCUAGUUGUGAAUAAAGACGGAUUCAAGUGUUACUAGUUCUUGGCUUGGAGUGGUUGUGUCGGCGGCCGACGACAUGACGCUAAGAGCCCGGAAUGAGUACGCUUGUAUGCUUCCGCCCGAUUUUAUUAUCAAGCUAUUUCGUUUUGUAAUUGCGAUGGUGUUAAUGGGUUAAGUAAUUAACCAAAUGUUUGUGUUUCAGGAGCUAAUGGCACCGAGGAGACGCUAUAUUCGUAGGACCGCUCCGGCACCCCCUCCUGAGGUGCCAGAGCCAGCCGUGCCUCCUGUGGCGCCAGAGUUGGCUAGGCCUAGCGAGGUGCAGGACUUGCAGGCACAAGUUGCCGCACUAGCUGGGCGGUUCGAUCGGCUCCAGGAGCUAUUGGAGCAGCAAGCAGCGGCGGCGGUAGCGGCGGCGGCCGGCUCGCGCCCCCGAUGCGGCCAAGGGUGAGGGUGCUACGGCGGCGCCAGUGGCGGCGCAACCGCAACCGGUGGACAUCCUUCCUGCGGCGUCGAGUUCCCCUACGCCCAAUGUGGCGGCUGAGGAGGUAGAGCGAGAGCGUGGUUACACGGCUCUCACAAGGUUUACGAAGUUCCACCCGCCUACGUUUGAUGGAGAAGUGAUUGAUCCUUGGACAGUGGAGACUUGGUUAGCCUUGAUGAAGACCCUGUUCGAAGACAUCUACACUCAGGAGCAAGAUAAGGUGAAUCUGGCGGCGCAUUGCUUCGAUAAGCGGGCUAGGGUGUGGUGGAAGAGAGUGAAGCAGGAUCGUUCUCCGGAUCUUCCCCCGAUCGAUUGGGAGGAGUUCCGAAGAUUAAUGUUUGCGGAGUACUUCCUAGAUAGCGAUAGGAGGAAGAUGAGGGAGGACUUCAGAAAGCUUAAGCAGGGUAAUCGCACGGUUCGGGAGUAUGAGCGGGAGUUUACCCAUUUCUUGAACUACGUCCCGGACGUGGUGAGGACGGAGCAAGAUCUGGCUAUUGCUUCGUGAGGGGACUUCGACCCAGAGUGUUUCGGUUGGUGCAUGCCUUCAAGUUUCACACUUUUGCGGAGGUUUUAGACCGUGCUUUGUGGGUUGAGCACGGGAAUGCCCGUGAGCGGGAGGAUUGCAAGGCGUUCGAAAAGAAAAAGGGAAAGAAGCUACCGGGCGGUGGAUCAUGGGGACAGUCGAGUUCCAAGAGGCCCCUGAAGUAUCCACGAUCUCAGCCUAAGGGCUGUGGAGCGCAACGGUGUAUCUUUUGUAGCGGAGAUCAUCGAGCUGGAGUGUGUGAGCAGCAACGUGGGAGAUGCUUCAAGUGUGGGCAAGCGGGGCACAUCAUACGUGACUGUCCUUGAGGUGGAGCUUCCCCUGCCCCAUCGGUCGCAUCGGCUCCGGUGAUUCCGGCCCGUUAUGGAGUUCCGCCUGCUGCGACUGCCGCGGAGCGCGUGAUGGCGCCACGCCAACCUGAACUGGAGCGAUCGGCUCCGAGCGGACGAAUGUUUGCCGCUCAGGUCUAAGCUGAGGAGCCUGCUGAGGCAGAGGAGCAUCGUCUUGUGGCAGGUAUGGUUUUAAUUAACGGAGUUCGCUCCAGGGCUAUGUUUGAUACAGGUGCCACGCACUCAUUCAUUAGUAGAUCAUUCGCACGCAUGCAUGACAUACUCAUAGAGGCGAGUGACGGAAAGUGGCGAGUAGAGGGCCCUGGGCCGACAUUUAAUACCUAUACAGAGUGCUCAUCGUGUCCAGUACAAAUAGGCGACUGGAUAAUGCCUAUCCGGAUGCUGGAACUCAAGAAAUUGGAGGAGUUCGACAUCAUUUUGGGCAUGGACUAGCUCUUUAAGUAUUAUGCAAUGAUUCAUUGUAAGAGUAGAGUGAUUACAUUGCGAGAGCUAGGACAGAAGGAAUUUGUUUAUCGGGCCUGUCGAAGCUCGUGUUUCGCCGCGACGGUAUCGGCGACGAGGGCUAGGAAGUUGGUCAACAGCGGUUGCGCAGCAUUUUUGGCGACUGUUGUAGAAGUGGACCAAACAGGACUUUGGAGGAGUUGUCAGUGGUGCGGGAAUUCCCAGAUGUAUUUCCCGCGGAGUUACCAGGAAUGCCACCGGACCAGGAGAUCGAGUUCAUGAUAGACUUGGUUCCCGGGACCGUGCCGAUCUCGAAGGCUCCGUACCGCAUGGCGCCGGCCGAGUUAAAGGAGUUGAGGGAUCAGUUACAUGAUCUUCUCGACAAGGAGUUCAUAAAGCCGAGCGUAUCGCCGUGGAGAGCACCGGUGUUGUUUGUGCGCAAGAAGGACGGCUCGUUUUGACUCUGCGUGGACUACGUGAGUUGAACAAGGUCACUAUAAAGAACAAGUACCCGUUGCCCCGAAUCGACGACUUAUUUGAUCAGUUACAUGGGUCGCGCGUGUACUCAAAGAUAGAUCUCCAAUCCGGCUACCACCAAUUGAAGAUUAAGCCGGAGAAUGUGCAAAAGACUGCGUUCCGCACACGGUAUGGGCACUACGAGUUCACAGUGAUACCAUUCGGGCUUACAAAUGCCCUGGCUGCGUUCAGGGAUCUGAUGAAUCGGGUGUUCAGGGCGUGUUUAGACCGAUUUGACGUGGUCUUCAUUGACGACAUCUUGGUCUAUUCGCGAAGCGAUGAGGAGCAUGCGGAGCAUUUGCGCAUUGUGCUUCAAAUCCUUCACGAGGAGAAGCUAUAUGCAAAAUUGAAGAAGUGUGACUUCUGGCUCCGGGAAGUUGCUUUCCUAGGGCACGUGAUUUUCGAGGGCGGUGUUUCAAUUGACCCGAGGAAAGUUGAGGCAGUCAAGGAUUGGCCACGCCCAACGAAUGUCACCGAGGUCCGAAGCUUUGUGGGCCUAGCGGGCUAUAUUAUCGAAGGUUCGUGGAGGGUUUCUGGAAGAUCGUGACCCCAUUUACCCGUCUGACGCAAAGGGCGUUAAGUUUAUUUGGAGUGACGAAUGUGACCGGAGUUUUAACGAGUUGAAGGAAAGGUUAACUUCAGCUCCGGUGCUCUCCUCACCGGUACAGGGCGAGGAUUAUGCGAUUUAUAGUGAUGAAUCCUAUAUGGGUCUGGGGUGUGUCUUGAUGCAAGGCGGGAAAGUGAUCGCUUAUGCGUCCCGUCAGUUAAAGGGUUACGAGAGGAAUUACCCCAUUCAUAACUUGGAAUUGGCGGUAGUGAUCUUUGCUUUACAACUAUGGAGGCACUAUCUGUACGGUGCACACUGUGAGAUCUACACCGACCAUAAAAGUUUGAAAUAUUUGUUUACCCAGAAGGAGCUUAAUAUGUGGCAGCGGCUGUGGUUAGAGCUGUUAAAGAACUACGAUGUUGACAUCCUUUACCACCCCGGCAAGGCAAAUGUAGUCACGGAUGCGCUUAGUAGAAAGUCGGUGGAAAACCUCGCUUCGUGGGUUACAAAUCAAACGCCCUUAUGGCUGGACAUGGAGCGAAUGGACCUUGAAGUGGUUGCUCCCGAGAUUCCGACUCGGUUGAUGGCGCUAGUAGUCCAACCGACCUUAUUGGAGAGGAUUAAGAGUUUGCAACCUGCAAACCUGAAUCUCCAAAAGGUGUAGUGCAACGUCAAGGAAGGUCGGGACGGCGAUUUCAGUAUAGAUGCUAGUGGCGCACUACGGUUUCGAAAUCGGUGGUGUCUGCCCGAGAAUGAAGAGCUUCGCGAGCUGAUUUUGCAAGAAGCACAUCAGUCUCGGUAUAGCGACCACCCGGGCGGCACCAAAAUGUAUCAUAAGUUGAGAGCACUCUAUUGGUGGCCGGGAAUGAAAGCUGAUAUUGGGCGCUUCGUGGCAAAGUGUUUGACAUGUCAGCAGGAGAAAGCGGAGCGUCGAUUUCCAGCGGGAAAGCUUCAGAGUUUACCUAUCCCCGUUUGGAAAUGGGAGGAUGUAUCGAUGGAUUUCGUGGUCGGCUUGCCUCGCUCGACGGGGGGCCACGACGCGAUUUGGGUAAUUAUGGAUCGUUUGACGAAGUCGGCACACUUUUUGCCGGUCGACAUGUCACGCCCCGGGGCUCAGCGGAAGCCUACCCGGUGCGUGCCCAGACCCGCCAUACGUCUAAAACAUAUAAGGCGUCUACAAAAAAUUUCAAUAGAUAAAAUAAAAAUACAAGAGAUCUAGUGAUAUCAGAGCAUUGUAUAACUAGUUCUAUAACAAGGAAAGAACAUAAAGCUGAAAGUCCACUACAUAAAAACAUAAAAUAAGUACAAUAGGGAUCCCAUAACAAGUGCUAAAAGGAGUACAAGGUGGUCUCUCUACACAUGGUACAAAACCUCUCCCUCUCUCUCAAAAUAUAAAAUGGAGGAGUAACCACCUAGCGCAAAAGAACUCUCCGCGAGCUAGCUACGCGACACCCUUGCCGCGAUCCCGUGCCUCCGCCGGUGCCGAAGGCUCUGAAAAGGAAACAUAGAAACAGGGGCGUGAGAACUAUUAAAUAAUAGUUCCCAGUGGGCAAUUACUGACUUCAGUGAAAUGCACCACUAGGCCNUUGACGCUGGUCGAAAAGUAAUGGGCCAAAAGAAGCUUCUUGAACCUCGUCCAAGUGAUAGUCGCCAAGUCAGUGCUGGGGUGCUCUUGAAAAUCCAACCACCAGCGGUAGGCCUCGCCGUCCAAGUGGUGAGUGGCGAGCCAAACUCGAUCCCUCUCCUCCACGAAGGUGUCGCGGAAGAGUUUCUCCAUAUGCAUCAACCACUUCUCCACGAUCCAGUGGUCGACUUUCUCGCCAUCGAAGACUCGGGGGCUGCACCUCCUAAACUCGUUGAGGCGCUCCAUCAGUCUGUCUCGCUCCGCCCCCUCAACCAAGGUAGGGAAAGCUGCUCCAGCCGGGGGCCUCAGCACGGGUGGUGCCCCCAAAACCUCCUCCUGGGGUGCGGCCGCAGGCGCCGCACGCGAAGAACUGGGCGCGGGGGACGGCGCUCUCGGUGCAACGUCCACAACUGGUGCUUGCGGUGUAGGGGCCUGAGUCUCCGUGGAAGCUGCCGCUUGCUGCAAUAGUAGAUCCUCCAGACGCUUCAUCCGCGCCUCCUGUCGGCGCGCCGCCUCGGUCUGCUGUCGGGCCGCCUUCGCCUGCUGAGUCACCAAAUCAGUGAGGGCCGCAAGCUGACCCCUCAACUCACGGACCUCGCUGGAUCCGGAGGUAGCGGAGGUCUCGACCUCCUCGAAGUUUGCCGCAUUGUCCGCCCCGGCAGAUUGGGAGCGAGUAAUCGGCAUCGUCACUACAACAUCAUAAAGCGCAAGUUAGUAAAAACCCACACUAUCGCAUCCCCGCUCAAAUAAACAAUACCCAAAUCAUGCGAAAGUAAAGAAGUGUUCUUCACUACUAACUCCCGAUGUUACGUUGUCGGCCGCCAACGUAACCCUCCGCGAAGUUAGGAGUUAUACACUUCAAUUUAACUCCACUUUCUAGAGUUAUUCAAGAUACCCAAUCUAGAUACUUUCGCUUACAAGUCGAAUA
rnacentral:lncRNA from 1 species